rnacentral:rRNA from 1 species
UACGUAGGGGCCUAGCGUUGUCCGGAUUUAUUGGGCGUAAAGAGCUCGUAGGCGGUUUGGUGAGUCGGGUGUGAAAUCUCCACGCUCAACGUGGAGGGCCACCCGAUACUGCCAUGACUAGAGUCCGGUAGGGGAGUGUGGAAUUCCCGGUGUAGCGGUGAAAUGCGUAGAGAUCGGUAGGAACACCAAUGGCGAAGGCAGCUUGCUGGGCAUUAUCUGACGCUAAGGCACGAAAGCGUGGGGAGCGAACAGG